GACGAACGCUGGCGGCGUGCUUAACACAUGCAAGUCGAACGGAAAGGCCCUGCUUUUGUGGGGUGCUCGAGUGGCGAACGGGUGAGUAACACGUGAGUAACCUGCCCUUGACUUUGGGAUAACUUCAGGAAACUGGGGCUAAUACCGGAUAGGAGCUCCUGCUGCAUGGUGGGGGUUGGAAAGUUUCGGCGGUUGGGGAUGGACUCGCGGCUUAUCAGCUUGUUGGUGGGGGAGUGGCUUACCAAGGCUUUGACGGGUAGCCGGCCUGAGAGGGUGACCGGCCACAUUGGGACUGCGAUACGGCCCAGACUCCUACGGGAGGCAGCAGGGGGGAAUAUUGCACAAUGGGCGGAAGCCUGAUGCAGCAACGCCGCGUGCGGGAUGACGGCCUUCGGGUUGUAAACCGCUUUCGCCUGUGACGAAGCGUGAGUGACGGUAAUGGGUAAAGAAGCACCGGCUAACUACGUG
rnacentral:rRNA from 1 species